rnacentral:rRNA from 1 species
AGAGUUUGAUCAUGGCUCAGAAUGAACGUUGGCGGCGUGGAUUAGGCAUGCAAGUCGUGCGCGAUCUGUAGCAAUACAGUGAGAGCGGCGAAAGGGAGAGUAAACCAUGGUUAGCUACCCUCGGGACUGGGAUAGCGGCGGGAAACUGCCGGUAAUACCAGAUAACGUCUUCGGACCAAACGUGUAAACCGGCCCGAGGAGGCGACCGUGUCCUAUCAGCUUGUUGGCGGGGUAAUGGCCCACCAAGGCUACGACGGGUAUGGGGCGUGAGAGCGUGCCCCCACUCACUGGGACUGAGAUACUGCCCAGACACCUACGGGUGGCUGCAGUCGAGAAUCUUCGGCAAUGGGCGCAAGCCUGACCGAGCGACGCCGCGUGCGGGAUGAAGGCCUUCGGGUUGUAAACCGCUGUCGUAGGGGAGGAAGACGCCGUGCAGAACGGUGUUUGACCGAUUCUAGGAGGAAGGGCCGGCUAAUCUCGUGCCAGCAGCCGCGGUAAUAC